UACGGAAGGUGCAAGCGUUGUUCGGAAUGACUGGGCGUAAAGGGCUCGUAGGCGGCCAACUAAGUCAGACGUGAAAUCCCUCGGCUUAACCGGGGAACUGCGUCUGAUACUGGAUGGCUUGAGUUUGGGAGAGGGAUGCGGAAUUCCAGGUGUAGCGGUGAAAUGCGUAGAUAUCUGGAGGAACACCGGUGGCGAAGGCGGCAUCCUGGACCAACACUGACGCUGAGGAGCGAAAGCCAGGGGAGCAAACGGG
rnacentral:rRNA from 1 species